UACUCUUGACAUCCACGGAAUUCGGCAGAGAUGCGUUAGUGCCUUCGGGAACCGUGAGACAGGUGCUGCAUGGCUGUCGUCAGCUCGUGUUGUGAAAUGUUGGGUUAAGUCCCGCAACGAGCGCAACCCUUAUCCUUUGUUGCCAGCGAUUCGGUCGGGAACUCAAAGGAGACUGCCGGUGAUAAACCGGAGGAAGGUGGGGAUGACGUCAAGUCAUCAUGGCCCUUACGAGUAGGGCUACACACGUGCUACAAUGGCGCAUACAAAGAGAAGCGACCUCGCGAGAGCAAGCGGACCUCACAAAGUGCGUCGUAGUCCGGAUCGGAGUCUGCAACUCGACUCCGUGAAGUCGGAAUCGCUAGUAAUCGUGGAUCAGAAUGCCACGGUGAAUACGUUCCCGGGCCUUGUACACACCGCCCGUCACACCAUGGGAGUGGGUUGCAAAAGAAGUAGGUAG
rnacentral:rRNA from 1 species